rnacentral:lncRNA from 1 species
CUCUUUUCUCUGCCAGUUGGCAAGGGAGGAGUUUCCCUUUCCCUUCCCCUUCCCAUUGGUUCACAGCCUCCGAAUGCAAUUGGCCGGCGAGCACCCAAUGAAUGUUUUUUCCGGACUCAAGUCCCCUCUCCCCGAAUAUUCAAUUUCUCGUAAGAAAAAAAUUGUUCCUUCUCGAGAACCGUAGUGAGGGCAGAGGUAGUGGAGGAGAGGGCGGAAAUACCUGAAGCCUCAUUCCAUCAAACCGGGUUUCCAUCAUCAGUUGUACUGUACAACCAGCAACUUUUAAUUCAUCCCUAAAUUUGUCCAUUACAGCUAUUCACGGCAGGUCUUUGUAACCUGACAGCAGAAGUCUAACCAUGUCUAUUCAGAAGUAAGCCCUAUUGAAUUCAAUGGCACUUACUCCCAGGUAAAUAGGAAGAGUCCCAACAGGAAGAGUUCUUGUUUCAGCUGACUACUAACUUUCAAAAUCCUCUUUAUCAAUUUGUGUAUUUGUAUCAAGUAUUUUUUAGCUUUUUGAACAAACACCAAGCAUGAUAAAGUGUCCCUUCGUGUUCUUGACAUUUUCAACAAAUAUUUGGAUCAUUUUUAUACAUUCUAAAUAAUUUCUCAGGAGUUAAAUACCAAUGGUACAUAAUUUUGUAAAAAUUCUAUUUUAGAACAUAGCACAGUAUGUAUUUUAACUCUUUUGCCUAUACAUAUAUGUUCCCACUGUUCCAUCUGUAUAACCAACACUUUUUGCUCAUUUAAUCCUGCAUUAUUUAACUAGUUCUUCUUAGAUUUCAAAUUUCAACAAACGUUUAAACAUUUUUUAUAUAACAUGUUCACCAUCCUUACACAAUUGCUUCUCAGAAUCCAUCUUGCUUUGUUCCAUACCUCAAGUCUUUCCCCCCAACUUAAGUCUCUCUGCUGAUUGUAAGUGAGAAAAACCACUGAAAAUUUUAACCUUCCACUGUUAAUUGUUCCCUUGUUUUAAUUUUACAAUCUCCUUGAUUCCACCGUGGGUUAGGUUAUAAAUGUAAGCAUAAUCAUUCAAGAUUAAUUGUUGUGCAUGCUGCUGGUGUGUUGCUUAUUAAUGAUUAAAGGCCUUCAUUAUGACUGGCCAUGAAUAGGGUCCAGAAAUAGAAGAAUCAUUAAUAUGUAACUCAACGGAGUUGGUUUGUCACAUUUGUGCUAUGACGCUUGCCCUCUAGGAAGUAAGCUCCUUUCCCAGUUGUUUGUAAUUGUGCUUUGAAAGAGAUGAAGCUGAUGUGGCUACUAAAAUUAUCUAAGCAACAGUUUGGAUUAUGAUGCUAGACCAAAAUUAGGGAGAAAAGCAAGUCUGGUUUAAGCUCUCAUAUAGGAAGGACGGACAUUUUAAGUGGAUUAUGGCAACCGGCACCAUGGUGCUAGGACUGGUGGUUGCACCCAUGGGAUGGGUUCUGAUGCUGGCAGCUACAGUAACACCAGAAUGGCGGGAGUUCCCCAAAAGACCUGGUUUCCCUCAAGAUGUCUCCUUCAGUGAUGGCCUUUGGGAGAGCUGUAUGGAGAUGACCAGCAUACAAGACAAG